AUUGAACGCUGGCGGCAGGCUUAACACAUGCAAGUCGAACGAGUGGCGGACGGGUGAGUAAUGCUUGGGAAUCUAGCUUAUGGAGGGGGAUAAAUACGGGAAACUGUAGCUAAUACCGCAUACCAUAGGAUGAGCCCAAGUGGGAUUAGCUUGUAGGUGAGGUAUCGGCUCACCUAGGCGACGAUCCCUAGCUGGUCUGAGAGGAUGAUCAGCGACACUGGAACUGAGACACGGUCCAGACGCCUACGAGAGGCAGCAGUGGGGAAUAUUGCAAAAUGGGCGCAAGCCUGAUGCAGCCAUGCCGCGUGUGUGAAGACGGCCUUCGGGUUGUAAAGCACUUUCAGCGAGGAGGCGUUACUCGAAGAAGAAGCACCGGCUAACUCCGUGCCAGCCGCCGCGGUAAUUC
rnacentral:rRNA from 1 species